rnacentral:rRNA from 1 species
GAUGAACGCUGGCGGCGUGCCUAAUACAUGCAAGUCGAGCGAACAGACGAGGAGCUUGCUCCUCUGACGUUAGCGGCGGACGGGUGAGUAACACGUGGAUAACCUACCUAUAAGACUGGGAUAACUUCGGGAAACCGGAGCUAAUACCGGAUAAUAUAUUGAACCGCAUGGUUCAAUAGUGAAAGACGGUUUUGCUGUCACUUAUAGAUGGAUCCGCGCCGCAUUAGCUAGUUGGUAAGUUAACGGCUUACCAAGGCAACGAUGCGUAGCCGACCUGAGAGGGUGAUCGGCCACACUGGAACUGAGACACGGUCCAGACUCCUACGGGAGGCAGCAGUAGGGAAUCUUCCGCAAUGGGCGAAAGCUUGACGGAGCAACGCCGCGUGAGUGAUGAAGGUCUUCGGAUCGUAAAACUCUGUUAUUAGGGAAGAACAAAUGUGUAAGUAACUAUGCACGUCUUGACGGUACCUAAUCAGAAAGCCACGGCUAACUACGUG